UACGUAGGUUGCAAGCGUUAUCCGGAAUUAUUGGGCGUAAAGCGCGCGUAGGCGGUUUUUUAAGGCUGAUGGGAAAGCCCACGGCUCAACCGUGGAGGGUCAUUGGAAACUGGAAAACUUGAGUGCAGAAGAGGAAAGUUGAAUUCCAUGUGUAGCGGUGAAAUGCGCAGAGAUAUGGAGGAACACCAGUGGCGAAGGCGACUUUCUUGUCUGUAACUGACGCUGAUGUGCGAAAGCGUGGGGAUCAAACAGG
rnacentral:rRNA from 1 species